rnacentral:rRNA from 1 species
UACGUAGGGCGCAAGCGUUGUCCGGAAUUAUUGGGCGUAAAGAGCUCGUAGGCGGUUUGUCGCGUCUGCUGUGAAAUCUUAGGGCUUAACCCUGAGCUUGCAGUGGGUACGGGCAGACUAGAGUGCGGUAGGGGAGACUGGAAUUCCUGGUGUAGCGGUGAAAUGCGCAGAUAUCAGGAGGAACACCGGUGGCGAAGGCGACGUCCUGGAC